rnacentral:rRNA from 1 species
CCAGACUCCUACGGGAGGCAGCAGUGGGGAAUAUUGCACAAUGGGGGAAACCCUGAUGCAGCCAUGCCGCGUGUGUGAAGAAGGCCUUCGGGUUGUAAAGCACUUUCAGCGAGGAGGAAAGGUUGGUAGCUAAUAACUGCCAACUGUGACGUUACUCGCAGAAGAAGCACCGGCUAACUCCGUGCCAGCAGCCGCGGUAAUACGGAGGGUGCAAGCGUUAAUCGGAAUUACUGGGCGUAAAGCGCACGCAGGCGGUUGGAUAAGUUAGAU